rnacentral:rRNA from 1 species
AAUUGAAGAGUUUGAUCCUGGCUCAGAUUGAACGCUGGCGGCAUGGCUAAAGCAUGCAAGUCGAACGCUCUCUUCGGAGAGAGUGGCGAAAGGGCGAGUAACGCGAUCGUACGUACCCCGAGGUGGGGGAUAGCGUCGGGAAACUGACGGUAAUACCCCAUGUGCUCUUCGGAGGAAAGUUUCGGCGCCUUGGGCGCGGCGAUCGUCCUAUCAGGUUGUUGGUGAGGUAACGGCUCACCAAGCCGAAGACGGGUAGCGGGUGUGAGAGCAUGACCCGCCGCAUCGGGACUGAGACACUGCCCGGACUCCUACGGGAGGCUGCAGCGACGAAUCUUCCGCAAUGGGCGAAAGCCUGACGGAGCAAUGCCGCGUGUGGGAUGAAGCAGCUUCGCUGUGUAAACCACUGUCAGGUCCUAGGAACACUGACCGGGACCAAAGGAAGGGCCGGCUAAACUCGUGCCAGCAGCCGCGGUAAUACGAGUGGCCCGAGCGUUAAUCGGAAUCACUGGGCUUAAAGGGUGCGCAGGCGGACCUUCAGGCGUCUUGUGAAAUCCCACGGCUCAACCGUGGAAUUGCAGGGCGAACCGGAGGUCUUGAGGCAGGUAGGGGCCGACGGAACUAUCGGUGGAACGGUGAAAUGUGCAGAUAUCGAUAGGAACGCCAAUGGCGAAGGCAGUCGGCUGGGCCUGUCCUGACGCUCAGGCACGAAAGCGUGGGGAGCAAACAGGAUUAGAUACCCUGGUAGUCCACGCCGUAAACGAUGUGCACUAGAUCGGGGAGGCUCUCACGCCCUCUCGGUCGAAGGAAAACCAUUAAGUGCACCGCCUGGGGAGUACGGUCGCAAGGCUAAAACUCAAAGGAAUUGACGGGGGCU